UAGAGAGGUAGGAAUCGAACCUACACCUAAGAGAUCAAAACUCUCCGUAAUUCC
rnacentral:tRNA from 1 species